GUCUUGUUGAUAUAAAUAAUAAGUCGAUUUCUGCCCAUUGAGAAAAUAAAUUUUAAAGGCUGCAGUAUAUUAACUGUACAAAGGUAGCAAAAUCAAUAGUUUUUUAAUUGGAAACUUGAAUGAAAGAGUUGAUAAAAUAUAAAUUGUCUUAAUUUAAUUAAAUUGAAUUUAAAUUAAAAGUAAAAAUGCUUUUAUUUUUUUAUUAGACGAUAAGACCCUAAGAAUUUUAUUAUAAAUAUUAAAAUUUAAUUUUAUAAAAAAAAAUUUUAAUUUAAAAUAAUUUUAUUGGGAGGAUAAUUAAACUUUAAACUUUAAUUUAUUAAUAAUAUUAAUAGAUAAAUUUUUAUGAAUAUUUUUAAGAUUAUAAGAAUAAAUUACCUUAGGGAUAACAGCGUAAUAAUUUUGGAGAGUUCAUAUUGAUAAAAUUGUUUGC
rnacentral:rRNA from 1 species